UCGUUGGGUGACUCGUCUGGUUAACUCCGAUAACGAACGAGAUCCCGACCUCUCUUUGGCAAGGGUAUCGUUUGUAGGUUUGUGGCAUUGUUCUUCGGAUCGAUGUUCGACAGCUGAGAUGGGGAUUGACGGCGCAUGUCGACAAUGCGCGGAAGAGCGGGCCAAUAGCA
rnacentral:rRNA from 1 species